rnacentral:rRNA from 1 species
UGAAGCUGGAAUUGCUAGUAAUGGCAGGUCAGCAUACUGCCGUGAAUACGUUCCCGGGCCUUGUACACACCGCCCGUCACACCAUGAGAGUUGGGGAUACCCGAAGCCUGUGAGCCAACUAUAUAGAGGCAGCAGUCGAAGGUAGAAUCAAUGAUUGGGGUGAAGUCGUAACAAGGUAUC